GGGCCCGUAGCUCAGGCUGGUAGAGCAACUGGCUCUUAACCAGUAGGUCGUGGGUUCAAAUCCCUCCGGGCCCG
rnacentral:tRNA from 1 species